rnacentral:rRNA from 1 species
AGAGCGAACGCUGGCGGCAGGCUUAACACAUGCAAGUCGAGCGGGCGUAGCAAUACGUCAGCGGCAGACGGGUGAGUAACGCGUGGGAACGUACCUUUUGGUUCGGAAUAACCCCGGGAAACUGGGGCUAAUACCGGAUGGUUCCUACGGGAUAAAGAUUUAUCGCCAAAAGAUGAGUCCGCGUCCGAUUAGCUAGUUGGUGGGGUAAUGGCCUACCAAGGCGACGAUCGGUAGCUGGUCUGAGAGGACGAUCAGCCACACUGGGACUGAGACACGGCCCAGACUCCUACGGGAGGCAGCAGUGGGGAAUAUUGGACAAUGGGGGCAACCCUGAUCCAGCCAUGCCGCGUGAGUGAUGAAGGCCUUCGGGUUGUAAAGUCUCUUUUGGGCGGGGACGAGUGAUGACGGUACCGCAGAAUAAGCCCGGCUAACUCGCGCCAGCAGCCGC